GUGGGGAAUAUUCCGCAAUGGACGAAAGUCUGACGGAGCAACGCCGCGUGAGUGAUGAAGGUUUUCGGACUGUAAAGCUCUGUUGUUUAGGACGAAAGUGCCUGUUGCAAAUAGUUACAGGUAUUGACGGUACUGAACGAGGAAGCCACGGCUAACUACGUGCCAGCAGCCGCGGUAAUACGUAGGUGGCAAGCGUUGUCCGGAAUUAUUGGGCGUAAAGAGCAUGUAGGCGGGAAUCUAAGUCUGUUGUGAAAAUGCGGGGCUCAACCCCGUAUUGCGAUGGAAACUGGGUUUCUUGAGUGCAGGAGAGGAAAGGGGAAUUCCCCGUGUAGCGGUGAAAUGCGUAGAUAUGGGGAGGAACACCAGUGGCGAAGGCGGCUUUCUGGACGGUGUCUGACACUGAGGCGCGAAAGCUAGGGGAGCGAACGGGAUUAGAAACCCUAGUAGUCC
rnacentral:rRNA from 1 species